AUUGAACGCUGGCGGCAGGCCUAACACAUGCAAGUCGAGCGAGCGGCGGACGGGUGAGUAAUGUCUGGGAAACUGUCCGAUGGAGGGGGAUAACUACUGGAAACGGUAGCUAAAACCCCAUACUAUCGCAUUUGCCCAGAUGGGAUUAUCUAGUGGGUGGGGUAACGGCUCACCUAGGCGCCGAUCCCUAGCUGGUCUGAGAGGAUGACCAGCAACACUGGAACUGUGACACGGUCACGACUCCUACGGGAGGCAGCAGUGGGGAAUAUUGCACAAUGGGCGCAAGCCUGAUACAGCCAUGCGGCGUGUAUGAGGAAGGCCUUCGGGUUGUAAAGUACUUUCAGCGGGGAGGCGUUACCCGCAGAAGAAGCACCGGCUAACUCCGUGCCAGCAGCCGCGGUAAUAC
rnacentral:rRNA from 1 species